AUGCGCUNGCUNNNNUGCAAGUCGAGCGGAAAGGCCCCUUCGGGGGCACUCGAGCGGCGAACGGGAGAGUAAUACCUGGGUAACCUGCCCCGGAGACCGGAAUAGCCACUGGAAACGGUGGGUAAUACCGGAUGGUCCCCGCGGAUCGAUGAUCUGCAGGGUAAAUGGGACUUCCGCUCCGGGAGGGGCCCAGGCCCCAUUAGCUAGUUGGUGAGGUAACGGCUCACCAAGGCAACGAUGGGUAGCGGGUGUGAGAGCACGAUCCGCCUCACUGGGACUGAGACACUGCCCAGACACCUACGGGUGGCUGCAGUCGAGAAUCUUCGGCAAUGGGGGAAACCCUGACCGAGCGACGCCGCGUGCGGGAUGAAGGCCCUCGGGUUGUAAACCGCUGUCGUAAGGGAACAAAUCUAUGAGGGUACUCUCUCAUAGUUGAGUGAUCUUAGGAGGAAGGACGGGCUAAGUUCGUGCCAGCAGCCGCGGUAAGACGAACCGUCCGAACGUUAUUCGGUAUCACUGGGCUUAAAGAGUUCGUAGGCGGCCAUGUAGGUCAGGUGUGAAAUCCCACAGCUCAACUGUGGAACUGCGCUUGAAACCCCAUGGCUUGAGGGAGAUAGAGGUGAGCGGAACAGAUGGUGGAGCGGUGAAAUGCGUUGAUGUCAUCUGGAACACCGGUGGCGAAAGCGGCUCACUGGAUCUUUUCUGACGCUGAGGAACGAAAGCUAGGGUAGCGAACGGGAUUAGAUACCCCGGUAGUCCUAGCCGUAAACGAUGAGCACUAGCCUGUGGGGACCCUCACAUCCUCUCGGGCGUAGCGAAAAGUGUUAAGUGCUCCGCCUGGGGGAGUAU
rnacentral:rRNA from 1 species